rnacentral:rRNA from 1 species
UGGGGAAUAUUGCGCAAUGGCCUAACGGCUGACGCAGCGACGCCGCGUGUGGGAGGACGCCCCUCGGGGUGUAAACCACUGUUGCCCGGGACGAACAACUGGUUUCGACCAGUCUGACGGUACCGGGUGAGGAAGCACCGGCUAACUCCGUGCCAGCAGCCGCGGUAAUACGGAGGGUGCGAGCGUUGUCCGGAAUCACUGGGCGUAAAGGGCGCGUAGGUGGCCCCUUAAGUGUGUGGUGAAAGCCCGGGGCUCAACCCCGGGUCGGCCAUGCAAACUGGGGGGCUCGAGCAUUGUAGAGGCAGGCGGAAUUCCGGGUGUAGCGGUGGAAUGCGUAGAGAUCCGGAAGAACACCGGUGGCGAAGGCGGCCUGCUGGGCAAUUGCUGACACUGAGGCGCGACAGCGUGGGGAGCAAACAG